UCAUUCAUGGCAAUUACACAAUUCACAGACAUACAAUUCAAUUUAAAACAUAUAAAUGUAUGACUUAAUUACACAAACUUACCUCGACGAGGGUACCUAGAUACGGAGGCGACUAAUCCGAUAUUUUCUCUUUGCCUCGAUCUAACUUUGUACAAGGUCUGACAGGAUCUAUAUGGAUAAAUUUAACCCUAUUCAAAAAAUUUCACAUUCAAUUUAGUCCAACAUGUAAUUUUGGCAAAAUUAUCAUUUUGCCCCUGUACUUUUAAAUUUAGUCCCUAGGCUCGUAAAAUGAAAUUCAUUUAAUAUUACCCCUACCCAAGCGUAUUCAAACUAUAUACAUGAUUAUAGUAGCCCACAUAUUUCACAAAUUUACAACUUUAACCAUGAAUUUAUCACAUUUUUCAAGUUAAUUCCUAUUUGACAUUUUCACUAAAAAUUCC
rnacentral:lncRNA from 1 species